AGGGUCAGACUGCUCAAAGCUAUCAACAUUCUGCAUUGUGGUGUGGAGUUGGAUAGCAAUGUGGACGUUAGUUUCAUCUGCAACUUCAGUCUCUCUGUAGCAAACAAGCCUCCCAAGAUGCUUUUACCAGAUAAGCCAAGCCGACACUCUCACGUGCGUCCUAACUUCAAAGUCCGAAGCUGGGUAGGAGAAUCCAAGUCCCAAGUGUUGGAUGCUGGUGAGCCUGUGGAUUCUGUAGGACCCACGGCUAAAGUUAAGUUCUUGUGUGUAACUGAAAAUUGCAGCCAGCAUAAAUAGGAGUUAGUUUGUGGCAUUCUGACCACAAAGGGAAUUACUUCUUGGAGUGGCUGCAUCCUGGUAAAUAGAAGCAGGGAAAGGGGGAAAUAGAGAAGCAUUGUACUGUGGAGGUAGCACCAAGACAAGGAUUAAUGGCCAGGGGAAUUGUAUUUUGUGUGCUUUCAGCAACAUUACAAUCUCCCCAAAGUGAGUGUUACUAAUAAAGGGGCCAGUAGAGAGGGGUCAGUGUGUCAAGGGAAAUGGAAAAUCAGGCUCUGUCAAAGGCAGAGAUUUUUAUUCUGUAAAGAAUCAGCAAAUUGCUUUGGUUUUUUUAAUUUUUAGUACUUCAAAUUUGGAUGAAUUAAAAGAACUCUGUUCCCUUUUAGAGGGGACGAAUAACAAGAAAUGGUAUAGGCAGGACACAGGAAAUGAUAUAGACAGGAUACAUGACUGCCAUUCUCUGGCAACGUAUGUUGUGUCCACAUACCCCAACACAUACAUUAUUUUACACCGGGCAAACAAUAAUGGGAAACGUGGUCAGUGUUGCAUUGGUGACAUAUUAGGUACACACAGAAUCAGAUUAACUCUGUGGUAUUGGGACUCAGGCAGGCCCCCAAUGGAGCAGAACCACACGGGGUGGAUGGUUGCAAAAUGGCAGGCACAGGGACCGCCCCCCUCCUGCCCACAGAGGACCACCACAGGACGGGGAUCUCCACCAGCUGUGCAUAGCCCAAUCGGGAGAAGUGGUUUAGGAUCAACAAUUAUGCACAGGGAGUGGUUGGGUUCUAGACAUAGUAUUUACCAUGGUAUUAUCGCAGUAAAUAGUAAUACUGCAGCACCUGGGAGCCAGAGCACCCCAUCGUGCUAGAUCCUGGACAAUCUAAGUGGUCCUCAGAGAGGGACAGGGGAGCUCCAGUGGGCUGGAUUGACUUCUCCCAUGCCUGACACAAAGCCUGUUGUUUACUUAGACUUUGUCCCAGGGUGCUGGGUGCUGGUGAAAGUUAGUUUCACCAUUAAUAAGCUAGGAUUGGCAAUGUCAGUUGCCCAACAUUCACCUUCUUCUUUGUUUGCGCCCCACAACGCUAUCUCUUGAUUGGCCCACAGACCCUAACGCACCGACCAGAGUCUUGUCAAAGCACGCACGGCACUAUACCUUUCCCCGACAAGCACGACUCAGUGCUGAGGCUACCCCUCUCCAUUACUCAAACCGUUGUGUUCUGAUAUUAUAGGAUUGAUAUUCUCACAAGCUCACAAAAUGUUGUCAGACCUUUGCAAUACCCAAAGACACAACAAGGCUGUGUUAAGAACAGAAUGAUCUGAUCUCUGAAUUUUCUUGCAGGAUGGAUGACUAAGGGGAUCAGCACUGGGAUGCACAGCCUUCCUCCUCUAGAUCAUCAGUUCAAACCCAGCCCAGGCUGGGAGUGACCAGAAGGCAUUACCAGCUGAAGGCUGUUUUCUGAACCUGUAUGUAAAAGCGUUGGUAGCAUCAGGCCCGUUGCAGGUGGAUGUUAUGUGACAAUCUUCCACCAGUGGUAUACAUCAGCAGUCUCAGCAGAGACACCAAGGACUAUCACCUUACCUCCAUCAGUGGCCUCCCUAGGUUAGGGUGGAAACAGAGCACUGGCCCAAAAGAUUGGCCCUGCGCUGAUGAGUUUACAAUCUCUGGGCAUGCAUAUGUGCAAUGCUAGCACAAUUGGCCCCAUUCUUGACUAAGAUCUCCAGGUACUACUCUGUGAUACAAAUUAUUAUUAAAAAUAUCAAACAAAGAGAUACUGUCCUUGUUCAAAAAGCAGUGUGAAUUUAAGCAAUACUGGGGGGCUGUUGAGAGAUACUCUAUUCCAGGGAUUCUCAAACUUUUGUACUGGUGCCCCCUUUCACACAGCAGGCCUCUGAGUGUGACCCCUCCUUAUAAAUAAAAACCACUUUUUUAUAUAUUUAACACCAUUAAAAA